UUGAAGUUGUUGAAUGAAUGCUCGAACUGUUGAGUGAGUUUGAAGAGAGAGAAACGAUGAAGAUGAUACAAUCGUAAUUAGUAACUUCAAAUCAAAUGUAUAAUUGUAAGUUUUGAGCUUGGGAAAAUAAUAAAAAGAAAAGAGCGAAGUACUGAGCAAAAGAAAGCAUGAUACCACAUCAAAUCAAACAGUUCAUAUUUCCAAGAUUAAAAUCGACUUUGCGUUGCAUCUGCCCCUUUAUUGGUGGUACAACUUAAUAUAGCUUAAUGUACAACUUAAUGCCCCUUUGUUGGUGGUACAACUUAUCUUCUAAUGACAGAGAAGUUUAUUGCUUAGCCACAAGUCCAUUGCCUUUGUUUUAUAAAUAAUUCUUCUGUUGUGUACAACUUAAUGCCCCUUUGUUGGUGGUACAACUUAUCUUCUAAUGACAGAGAAGUUUAUUGCUUAGCCACAAGUCCAUUGCCUUUGUAAGAUGACAUUUUUCAUUAAUAAAAUCCUUUAGUUUCUCAUGAAGUUUAUCAGUUAAUUAUAUAUAUUUAUAUGUGGAUGUGGUGAUCCAUUGUUUUGUAGAUGAGAUAUAAAACAAGACGUAAGUGCUUGCUAUUUUAG
rnacentral:lncRNA from 1 species